AUUGAACGCUGGCGGCAGGCCUAACACAUGCAAGUCGAACGGUAACAGGAAGCAGCUUGCUGCUUUGCUGACGAGUGGCGGACGGGUGAGUAAUGUCUGGGAAACUGCCUGAUGGAGGGGGAUAACUACUGGAAACGGUAGCUAAUACCGCAUAACGUCGCAAGACCAAAGAGGGGGACCUUCGGGCCUCUUGCCAUCGGAUGUGCCCAGAUGGGAUUAGCUAGUAGGUGGGGUAACGGCUCACCUAGGCGACGAUCCCUAGCUGGUUUGAGAGGAUGACCAGCCACACUGGAACUGAGACACGGUCCAGACUCCUACGGGAGGCAGCAGUGGGGAAUAUUGCACAAUGGGCGCAAGCCUGAUGCAGCCAUGCCGCGUGUAUGAAGAAGGCCUUCGGGUUGUAAAGUACUUUCAGCGGGGAGGAAGGGAGUAAAGUUAAUACCUUUGCUCAUUGACGUUACCCGCAGAAGAAGCACCGGCUAACUCCGUG
rnacentral:rRNA from 1 species